rnacentral:rRNA from 1 species
CCUACGGGAGGCAGCAGUGGGGAAUCUUGCGCAAUGGGCGAAAGCCUGACGCAGCCAUGCCGCGUGAAUGAUGAAGGUCUUAGGAUUGUAAAAUUCUUUCACCGGGGACGAUAAUGACGGUACCCGGAGAAGAAGCCCCGGCUAACUUCGUGCCAGCAGCCGCGGUAAUACGAAGGGGGCUAGCGUUGCUCGGAAUUACUGGGCGUAAAGGGAGCGUAGGCGGAUAGUUUAGUCAGAGGUGAAAGCCCAGGGCUCAACCUUGGAAUUGCCUUUGAUACUGGCUAUCUUGAGUGUGGGAGAGGUAUGUGGAACUCCGAGUGUAGAGGUGAGAUUCGUAGAUAUUCGGAAGAACACCAGUGGCGAAGGCGACAUACUGGCCCAUUACUGACGCUGAGGCUCGAAAGCGUGGGGAGCAAACAGGAUUAGAUACCCUGGUAGUCCACGCUGUAAACGAUGAGUGCUAGUUGUCGGCAGGCAUGCCUGUCGGUGACGCAGCUAACGCAUUAAGCACUCCGCCUGGGGAGUACGGUCGCAAGAAUUAAAACUCAAAUUGAAAUUGACGGCUUGAGACGNGCGAGAGACACGAGGAGAG